GACGAACGCUGGCGGCGUGCUUAACACAUGCAAGUCGAACGAUGAAGCCGGAGCUUGCUCUGGUGAAUUAGUGGCGAACGGGUGAGUAACACGUGAGUAACCUGCCCUUGACUCUGGGAUAACUGCUAGAAAUGGUAGCUAAUACCGGAUACGACCCUCGGCGGCAUCGCCAGGGGGUGGAAAGAAUUUCGGUCAAGGAUGGACUCGCGGCCUAUCAGGUAGUUGGUGAGGUAACGGCUCACCAAGGCGACGACGGGUAGCCGGCCUGAGAGGGUGACCGGCCACACUGGGACUGAGACACGGCCCAGACUCCUACGGGAGGCAGCAGUGGGGAAUAUUGCACAAUGGGCGCGAGCCUGAUGCAGCAACGCCGCGUGAGGGAUGACGGCCUUCGGGUUGUAAACCUCUUUUAGUAGGGAAGAAGCGAAAGUGACGGUACCUGCAGAAAAAGCACCGGCUAACUACGUGCCAGCCGCCGCGGUAA
rnacentral:rRNA from 1 species